UUAGCGUGAGGUUGAGAAUGGAGGCUAAAUUUCAAUCCGGCUCCGUUUGGAGGAAGGAAACCUUAAGAGUGUUUUGUGAAGAUCUAAAGAUCAACUUUUCACCCGCCGGAGGAGAUGGGACGUUAGCAGAAGAUUCGCAGACGGAAUGUCUAAUAUUUACUUGAUUUUUGGUACUUAUUGGAGGUAUGAUGACGACCAAAAAUUUGAAUGGUGCCUCUGCACCUUGCUUUCUUGCCUAGCUUGCUGCCGGCAAUCUUUCCGGAUGUGAGUGGCGGAGGCGAAGAGGCCUACAUUUGCCGGUGGUUAAGUAAUCAUCUAGUAGUGGUCCUAGUGAAAUUUUGUAAAGAUUAUUGGAUAUGACAUAAAUCGUUCGGAAUUGUAAAAAUCAGGUAUGAUUUUCUUUUUAUCCAACCGAACCAUAGACAAUGGUUUUUCAUGUACAAAGUUCUUUAUCAAUCGCUUGUAUAGUUCGUAUGUGUAA